GGGUAUGGAGCUGGCUGGAUGGCCAGGCCCUGAGACUGGUGGUUAACGGAGUCACAUUCGGUGGGCGACAGGUCACAAGUGGUGUUUCCUAGGAGUCAGAAUUGAGGCCCAUCCUGUUCAAUAUCUAUUGAUGACAUGGAUGAGGGCACUGAGUGCACCCUCAGCUCUAAACUCAGGUUCCUAGAGGUGAAGAGUCAUUGCUCUGACACAAUAUCCCAGUCCAUGUGAGCAGAGAGUAAAGAAAUGUUCAUCCCACUUUACCAAGCUGGAGCAGAGUUCCUUCAGCAUCUGUCCAGUGGAAGCAGUGUCACGAGCAGAAUGCUGGCACUACUGAUGUCUUCAGCCACUACUGCUGAGUACCACAGAACUCAGCCACCAAAGUUGUAAGGUUUAUCGAUGUGUAGCCUUGCUCUAAAGCUGUCUUCUCUCCAGCGAGAAACACCACUUCAUAGAACCAUACAUGACUUGGGUUGGGAGAGACCUUAAAGAUCAAGUUCUACUCCCCUGCCAUGGGCAGGGCUGCCCCCCACCAGCUCAGGCUGCCCAGGGCCCAUCCAACCUUGACUUGAGUACUUCCAGGGAUGGAGCAUCCACAACUUCUGUGGGCAACCUGUACAAGUGCUCCGCCACUCUCUGAUAAAUGAAUUUUUU
rnacentral:lncRNA from 1 species